UAUAAAGCCCGGGCUUUUAGUUAGGUCUUUGUGAGGUAUUGUAUUGUUUGAGAGCUACUGAGUGGUCACUUUGGAUAUUGUUUUGUUGGAUUCUGACUACCUUCCGUGUUUUGGACUUUUUGCUUUUUUGCCUUUGCCCCUUGGACUCUGUUUGCCUGGUGGCUGUGGAGGGCAUGUGGAAAGAUGGGAACUGCAGCACUACCCUCUCUGCUCCCUCCGUCUGUCUUCUCUGAAAUGGACCAUGCCGGGUGUUUCCCGCCUUCUGCCCGAUGACCACUGGGAUAGACUCUGGUGACCCAGGAGGAUUAGCAGCGAAGACUUUGUGUGUGUGUUCAUUUGCUGAAUUUAACAUCAUGACAAAAAUAAAACAUUGUUUCAUUUUUU